UCCUUUGACGUUAGCGGCGGACGGGUGAGUAACACGUGGGUAACCUACCUAUAAGACUGGGAUAACUUCGGGAAACCGGAGCUAAUACCGGAUAAUAUUUCGAACCGCAUGGUUCGAUAGUGAAAGAUGGCUUUGCUAUCACUUAUAGAUGGACCUGCGCCGUAUUAGCUAGUUGGUAAGGUAACGGCUUACCAAGGCAACGAUACGUAGCCGACCUGAGAGGGUGAUCGGCCACACUGGAACUGAGACACGGUCCAGACUCCUACGGGAGGCAGCAGUAGGGAAUCUUCCGCAAUGGGCGAAAGCCUGACGGAGCAACGCCGCGUGAGUGAUGAAGGUCUUCGGAUCGUAAAACUCUGUUAUUAGGGAAGAACAAACGUGUAAGUAACUGUGCACGUCUUGACGGUACCUAAUCAGAAAGCCACGGCUAACUACGUGCCAGCAGCCGCGGUAAUACGUAGGUGGCAAGCGUUAUCCGGAAUUAU
rnacentral:rRNA from 1 species